rnacentral:rRNA from 1 species
GUGCACCAGUCGAGAAAUUUUGACAAUGGGGGAAACCCUGAUCGAGCGACGCCGCGUGGAGGAUGAAGGUCUUCGGAUUGUAAACUCCUGUCAUUGGGGAACAAGGUGCAUACGUUAACUGCGUGUGUAUUGAUAGUACCCGAAGAGGAAGGGACGGCUAACUCUGUGCCAGCAGCCGUGGUAAUACAGAGGUCCCAAGCGUUGUUCGGAUUCAUUGGGCGUAAAGGGUGCGUAGGCGGCGCGGUAAGUCGGGUGUGAAAUCUCGGAGCUUAACUCCGAAACUGCAUUCGAUACUGCCGUGCUUGAGGACUGGAGAGGAGACUGGAAUUUACGGUGUAGCGGUGAAAUGCGUAGAUAUCGUAAGGAAGACCAGUGGCGAAGGCGGGUCUCUGGACAGUUCCUGACGCUGAGGCACGAAGGCCAGGGGAGCAAACGGGAUUAGAUACCCCCGUAGU